UUAUUCACCUGUUUAUCAAAACAUGGCCUAUUGAGUAUAAUUUUAGGUCGAUCUGCUCCAUGAAAUAAAUUUAAAUAGCUGCAGUAUAUUGACUGUACAAAGGUAGCAUAAUAAAUUGUCUUUUAAUUGAAGAAUUGAAUGAAUGAAUUGAUGAAAUAACAACUGUCUCUAUUUUAUUUAAUGAAUUUAAAUUUUUAGUAAAAAUUCUGAAAUUUAAUUAUGGGACGAUAAGACCCUAUAGAAUUUUAUUUAAUAUAAUUAUUUAUUUAAAUUAUUUGUGAAUAUAUAAUUAAUUUAAAUUUGAUUGGGAGGAUUGGUAAAUAAAAAUAACUUUAUCUAAAAAUUAAUUUUGAUGAAAAGAUUUUUUUUGACUUAUAAUUUAUGAUUAAAAGAAUAAAUUACCUUAGGGAUAACAGCGUAAUAUCUUUUGAUAGACCACAUUGAUAAAGAUGUUUGCGACCUCGAUGUUGAAUUAAGAGAAAAGUUAAACGCAGGAGUUUAAAAUUUUAAGUCUGUUCGACUUUUAAAAUCUUACAUGAUUUGAGUUCAAAUCGACGUAAGUCAGAUUGGUUUCUAUCUAUA
rnacentral:rRNA from 1 species